UAUCAUGGUAUUUAGAGCAAGCCGUACU
rnacentral:sRNA from 1 species